UACGGAGGGGGCUAGCGUUGUUCGGAAUUACUGGGCGUAAAGCGCACGUAGGCGGCUUUGUAAGUUAGAGGUGAAAGCCCGGAGCUCAACUCCGGAAUUGCCUUUAAGACUGCAUCGCUUUGAAUCCAGGAGAGGUGAGUGGAAUUCCGAGUGUAGAGGUGAAAUUCGUAGAUAUUCGGAAAGAACACCAGUGGCGAAGGCGGCUCACUGGACUGGUAUUGACGCUGAGGUGCGAAAGCGUGGGGAGCAAACAGG
rnacentral:rRNA from 1 species